GCCGGGCAUGGUGGCACAUGCCUGUAGUCCCAGCUACUUGGGAGGCUGAGGCAGAAGAAUCGCUUGAACCUGGGAGGCAGAGGUUGCAGUGAGCUAAGAUUGCGCCACUGCACUCCAGCCUGGGUGACAGAGUGAGACUCUGUCUCAA
rfam:Homo sapiens chromosome 1, GRCh38 reference primary assembly.